GACGUAGGGUGCAAGCGUUGUCCGGAUUUAUUGGGCGUAAAGAGCUCGUAGGCGGUCUGUUGCGUCGGUUGUGAAAACCUGGGGCUCAACUCCAGGCCUGCAAUCGAUACGGGCAGACUAGAGUUCGGUAGGGGAGACUGGAAUUCCUGGUGUAGCGGUGAAAUGCGCAGAUAUCAGGAGGAACACCGGUGGCGAAGGCGGGUCUCUGGGCCGAAACUGACGCUGAGGAGCGAAAGCGUGGGGAGCGAACAGG
rnacentral:rRNA from 1 species